AUCCAGCUGACGAGUCCUAAACAGGACGAAACAUGCGUCCUGGAU
rnacentral:hammerhead_ribozyme from 1 species